GGGCCCGCACAAGCGGUGGAGUAUGUGGUUUAAUUCGAAGCAACGCGAAGAACCUUACCAAAUCUUGACAUCCUUUGACAACUCUAGAGAUAGAGCCUUCCCCUUCGGGGGACAAAGUGACAGGUGGUGCAUGGUUGUCGUCAGCUCGUGUCGUGAGAUGUUGGGUUAAGUCCCGCAACGAGCGCAACCCUUAAGCUUAGUUGCCAUCAUUAAGUUGGGCACUCUAAGUUGACUGCCGGUGACAAACCGGAGGAAGGUGGGGAUGACGUCAAAUCAUCAUGCCCCUUAUGAUUUGGGCUACACACGUGCUACAAUGGACAAUACAAAGGGCAGCGAAACCGCGAGGUCAAGCAAAUCCCAUAAAGUUGUUCUCAGUUCGGAUUGUAGUCUGCAACUCGACUACAUGAAGCUGGAAUCGCUAGUAAUCGCAGGUC
rnacentral:rRNA from 1 species